UACAGAGGGUGCAAGCGUUGUUCGGAAUCAUUGGGCGUAAAGAGCUCGUAGGCGGCCGGUUGCGUCUGCUGUGAAAUCCCGGGGCUUAACCCCGGGCGUGCAGUGGAUACGGGCUGGCUGGAGGCAGGCAGGGGAGAAUGGAAUUCCCGGUGUAGCGGUGAAAUGCGCAGAUAUCGGGAGGAACACCGGUGGCGAAGGCGGUUCUCUGGGCCUGUGCUGACGCUGAGGAGCGAAAGCGUGGGGAGCGAACAGG
rnacentral:rRNA from 1 species